rnacentral:rRNA from 1 species
GCCCUUUGUACACACCGCCCGUCGCUACUACCGAUUGAAUGGCUCGGUGAGGCCUUCGGACUGGCCCAGGGAGGUCGGCAACGACCACCCAGGGCCGGAAAGUUCGUCAAACCUGGUCAUUUAGAGGAAGUAAAAGUCGUAACAAGGUCUCCGUAGGUGAACCUGCGGAGGGAUCAUU